CACUCCUGCGGGAGGCAGCAGUGGGGAAUAUUGGACAAUGGGCGCAAGCCUGAUCCAGCCAUGCCGCGUGAGUGAUGAAGGCCCUAGGGUUGUAAAGCUCUUUCACCGGUGAAGAUAAUGACGGUAACCGGAGAAGAAGCCCCGGCUAACUUCGUGCCAGCAGCCGCGGUAAUACGAAGGGGGCUAGCGUUGUUCGGAUUUACUGGGCGUAAAGCGCACGUAGGCGGACUAUUAAGUCAGGGGUGAAAUCCCGGGGCUCAACCCCGGAACUGCCUUUGAUACUGGUAGUCUUGAGUUCGAGAGAGGUGAGUGGAAUUCCGAGUGUAGAGGUGAAAUUCGUAGAUAUUCGGAGGAACACCAGUGGCGAAGGCGGCUCACUGGCUCGAUACUGACGCUGAGGUGCGAAAGCGUGGGGAGCAAACAGGAUUAGAUACCCCGGUAGUCCC
rnacentral:rRNA from 1 species